GCGCCCGUAGCUCAACGGAUAGAGCAUCUGACUACGGAUCAGAAGGUUGCGGGUUCGAAUCCCUCCGGGCGCG
rnacentral:tRNA from 3 species